rnacentral:rRNA from 1 species
AUUGAACGCUGGCGGCAGGCCUAACACAUGCAAGUCGAACGGCAGCACAGAAGAGCUUGCUCUUCGGGUGGCGAGUGGCGGACGGGUGAGUAAUGUCUGGGAAACUGCCCGAUGGAGGGGGAUAACUACUGGAAACGGUAGCUAAUACCGCAUAACGUCGCAAGACCAAAGUGGGGGACCUUCGGGCCUCACACCAUCGGAUGUGCCCAGAUGGGAUUAGCUAGUAGGUGGGGUAAUGGCUCACCUAGGCGACGAUCCCUAGCUGGUCUGAGGGGAUGACCAGCCAAACUGGAACUGAGACACGGUACAGACGCCUACGGGAGGCAGCUGUGGGGAAUAUUGCACAAUGGGCGCAAGCCUGAUGCAGCCAUGCCGCGUGUAUGAAGAAGGCCUUCGGGUUGUAAAGUACUUUCAGCGGGGAGGAAGGCGGUGAGGUUAAUAACCUUGCCGAUUGACGUUACCCGCAGAAGAAGCACCGGCUAACUCCGUGCCAGCCGCCGCCGUAA